UACGGAGGGGGCUAGCGUUGUUCGGAAUUACUGGGCGUAAAGCGCACGUAGGCGGCUUUGUAAGUUAGAGGUGAAAGCCCGGGGCUCAACUCCGGAAUUGCCUUUAAGACUGCAUCGCUAGAAUUGUGGAGAGGUAAGUGGAAUUCCGAGUGUAGAGGUGAAAUUCGUAGAUAUUCGGAAGAACACCAGAGGCGAAGGCGGCUUUCUGGCUCGUAACUGACGCUGAGGCGCGAAAGCGUGGGGAGCAAACAGG
rnacentral:rRNA from 1 species